UGGGGAAUUUUGCACAAUGGGGGAAACCCUGAUGCAACGACGCCGCGUGUACGAUGAAGAUCUUCGGAUUGUAAAGUACUGUCCUUGGUGAAGAUAAUGACUGUAACCAAGAAGCAAGCCCUGGCUAAAUACGUGCCAGCAGCCGCGGUAAUACGUAUGGGGCAAGCGUUGUCCGGAAUUAUUGGGCGUAAAGGGUACGUAGGCGGUUAUUUAAGUCUAAUUAAAAGGCAUUGGCUCAACCAAUGUAAGGUUUAGAUACUGGGUAACUUGAGUAGAUGAGGGGAAAGUGGAAUUCCAUGUGUAGCGGUGAAAUGCGUAGAUAUAUGGAGGAACACCAAUGGCGAAGGCAACUUUCUGGAAUCAAACUGACGCUGAGGUACGAAGGCGUGGGGAGCAAACAGG
rnacentral:rRNA from 1 species